AUGGACUUCGGGGAUGACCAGGAGGGGGGAUCCGAGAGCAACCACCACCAGCAGCAGCAGCAGAACCAGAACCAGCGCCGCAAGCGCUACCACCGCCACACGCCGCGCCAGAUUCAGACGCUCGAGGCGAUGUUCAAGGAGUGCCCCCACCCCGACGAGGCGCAGCGCGCCAAUCUCAGCCGCGAGCUCGGCCUCGAGGCCCGCCAGAUUAAGUUCUGGUUCCAGAACCGGCGCACGCAGAUGAAGGCACAGCACGAACGCCAGGACAAUUGCUUCCUGCGCCAGGAGAACGACAAGAUCCGCUGCGAAAACAUAGCCAUGCGCGAGGCGCUGAAGAAUGUUAUCUGCCCCACCUGCGGCGGCCCGCCCAUCGCCGAAGAUUACUUCGACGAGCAGAAGCUCCGCAUGGAGAACGCUCGCCUGAAGCAGGAGCUCGACCAGGUCGCCGGCCUCACCGCCAAGUACCUCGGCCGCCCCUUCACGCAGCUGCCGCAGGGCACGCCCCAGAUGAACGUCUCCUCGCUCGACCUCUCCAUGGGCGGGGUGCCAAUCGGCGGCGUGCCGAUGGGCGGCGGGCACCACCAGCCGUUCUGCGGCGGCGGCCUCUCGCUGGACCUCGACCUCAGCGGGGCUGGCCUGGGCAUGCCGUUGUCGGACAUGCCGACCAUGCAUCUGCCGGCGCCCGUGACUGAAAAGGAGCGCCCCUUGUUGGCCAAGAUGGCCACGCGGGCCAUGGACGAGUUGAUCCGGCUCACCCAGCAGGGCGAAAACGUGUGGGUCAAGAUCCCGGGCGGCGACGGCCGGGAGAUCAUCGACGUCCAGGCGUACGACUCCAUCUACUCCAAGCCCGGCAGCAGCAACCUCCGCGCCGGAGACAUCCGCGUCGAGGGCUCCCGCGACUCGGCAAUCGUGUGCAUGAACCCCGUCUGCCUCGUCGAAGUGUUCAUGGACCCGAGCAAGUUCAUGGAGUUCUUCCCAAGCAUCGUGUCCCACGCGCGGAUCACUGACCCCCUCGUCAAUGGCCUGAACGGGAGGAGCGAGUCACUCGUCAUGAUGUACGAGCAGCUGCACUUCACGACGCCGGCCGUCCCGACCCGCGAGUUCAGCUUCCUCCGCUACUGCCGGCAGAUCGACCAGGGCAUGUGGGCCAUCGCCGACGUCUCCGCGGACAUGCAGCGCGAGGUCCACUACGGCGGCCCGCCGUCGCGCUCCCGCCGCCUCCCGUCCGGCUGCCUCAUCUCCGAAAUGACCAAUGGCUACUCCAGGGUGACCUGGGUCGAACACAUGGAGAUCGAGGACAAGAGCCCGAUCGGCCCCCUGUACCGCGACAUCGUGCAGAGCGGCGCCGCCUUCGGGGCGCACCGCUGGGUCGCCGCGCUGCACCGCGCCUGCGAGCGCUACGCUUCUUCAGUCGAGGUGCCCGGCGUGAUGCACGGCGAGACCACCGGAGUGACGGCUGAAGGGAGACGCAGCAUGAUGGCGCUGUCGCAGCGCAUGGUGAGCAGCUUCUGCGGGGGCAUGACGGCGUCGCCGCAGCACCAGUGGACGACCAUGCCCGGCGCCGGCGGCAGCGAGGUGUGCGUGCGCGUGUCCAUGAACCAGGGCUCCCAGCCGGGGCAGCCCAACGGCGUGGUGCUCGGCGCCGCCACCUCCGUCUGGCUCCCCGUCCCCGCCGACCACGUCUUCGGCUUCCUCCGGGACGAGAACACGCGCACCCAGUGGGACGUCCUGUGCAAGGAGAAUUCGGUGCAGCCGGUGUCGCGCAUCCCCAACGGCCCCAAUCCCGGGAACUGCAUCACGCUGCUGCGGGCCCUGGGCCCGAGCCAGAGCCCCCAAGGUGGCCAGGCCACCAUCCUGGUGCUGCAGGAGAGCUGCACGGACACGUCGGGGUGCUCCAUGGUGGUGCACUCGCCCAUCGACAUCCCGGCGGCCAACAUGAUGAUGAGCGGCGCCGACCCGUCGGGCAUCCCGCUGCUGCCCUCGGGGUUCGCCAUCUGGCCCGCGGGCGUGGGCGGCGGCGCGUCCACCAGCGCCGCCACCCCGAUGGCGGCGGGGUGCAUCGUCAGCGUCGCCUUCCAGAUCCUCAUCAGCAGCCUGCCGUCGUCCAAGCUCAACGCCGAGUCCAUCGCCACCGUCAACAACCUCGUCAGCACCACCGUCCAGAACAUCAAGACCGCCCUCAACUGCGCCUAG
rnacentral:rRNA from 1 species